rnacentral:lncRNA from 1 species
GAAAGGCCUCGUUGGUGGUUGAUGGGCAUCAGCCCAUGGAAUCAAGGAAACCCUGGGGUUAGGGGCACUAGUGUAGGAAGGCCAUACUGUCCCCACCCAUCGCAAAGGGUUCUGCUCAGAGCCCCUUUGACCAUGGCCUGUCAGAAUGACCUUUUUCUAUUCUGUAUACAGUAUGGGGGCACUGUGUCUUUGUAGAACUCCCGUCUUUGUCCUGCUGUAGGGUAAUACUGUGUGGAGCUCACCCAUCCAUUGGAUAGUGACCAGGGUAACCAAGCUAACAAUGCCAUGGUUGAGCAAAGCCACAAGCAGUGUCUUCACAGAAGGCACUCAGCUUUUCCAGAUGCUUCUGAGAAGAUGAGAGUGAGCCAUACUCCAUCAUAAGAUCUACUGGGCAGAUGAGGAACAGGGCCUUGAUAGGAGGGAAAGAGAUUGGUUUGAGAAAGGGCAGCUGGAGUCACCCAGGCUCAAGUCUCCUUGGCUGGCACAAACUGCAACACACACCUCACACAUGCAGAGUGCUCAUGUGGGUUCUAGAAAGUCAAGUGUUCCUUCCUAGUGUUAGGAGGAGAGAGAGAGAGAGAGAGAGAGAGAGAGAGAGAAAGAGAAUAUCCCAGGCUUGCCCAGGGGAAUGCCUAGAGACUACUAAGGAAAGAAAGAGGAUGGCUCUGUCUCCCUUUAGCAUGAAGACUGGGUGAUGGGGAACUAAGCACAUUAGAAGGCUGAGGUGCUAGGGAGUUGGGAAGGCCCCUCUGUAAACAGAUGACCAGGGUAUGUCUUGUGGAACAGGCAUAGGGGGCAGUGGUAUAGGCUGACUGUGUGAGCAGCUAGAAGAAUACAGGUAAGAGGGGCUGCAGGGGCAGUGUGAUGGGUCAGGAGUGUGAAGAGAAUCAGGAAAGAGGCCGAUGCAAGUGUUUGCAUUCACCAAGAGCACAGAGAAAGCAGAGGAGAGAUUUUAAAUUGGCAUGGUGAGGUCUGAGGGACAUUUGAAAGACAGAAGAUGGGGUUUGACUAAGGAACCAUCCUGGCUGAUUUUGGCAGCAAGUGGGGACUGGCACCUUCAAGGAGACAAGCAAGGCCACCUGAGGGUGCUUUGUGCCCAAGCCGAGCAGCCCCAUCGCUGGAUUUGUCAGUGGGUCACCUACUGCGCUUCUCGGAAGGCAUGGCAGCUGUUGAGUACAGCUCUCCGUCAUCUCACGCACCGUCAUCAGGAUUAAGCAGCAAGAACAUUUUCAGAGACUGACUUUGAGAAUAAGCAAUUGUGCACAAGAGUAAAUAUUGAAUCCUGGCAGCCUGUUAGCAAAGACUUAAAAAUGAACCGCAAAUCUAAUUUCCUAAGCCUGUUCAGAUUGUAGCUUUGUCAUUACUAAGUCCCUCAGUUUGAAUUAUGAAAUACGCCUGAACCAUUGAAUAUUCAGAUUAUAAUCUUAGCA